rnacentral:rRNA from 1 species
UACGUAGGGGGCAAGCGUUGUCCGGAAUCAUUGGGCGUAAAGAGCGUGUAGGCGGUCCGAUAAGUCCGCUCUGAAAGCCCGGGGCUCAACCCCGGGAGGCGGGCGGAUACUGUCGGGCUAGAGUCCGGAAGAGGCGAGUGGAAUUCCUGGUGUAGCGGUGAAAUGCGCAGAUAUCAGGAGGAACACCAAUGGCGAAGGCAGCUCGCUGGGACGGUACUGACGCUGAGACGCGAAAGCGUGGGGAGCGAACAGG